rnacentral:rRNA from 1 species
UACGAAGGGUGCAAGCGGUUACUCGGAAUUACUGGGCGUAAAGCGUGCGUAGGCGGUUUGUUAAGUCCGUUGUGAAAGCCCUGGGCUCAACCUGGGAAUUGCAGUGGAUACUGGCAAGCUAGAGUACGGUAGAGGAUGGUGGAAUUCCCGGUGUAGAGGUGAAAUUCGUAGAUAUCGGGAGGAACGACCGGUGGCGAAGGCGGCGAUCUGGGUCGAGUACUGACGCUGAGGAGCGAAAGCGUGGGGAGCGAACGAGG